CAGUAGCCGCGGGAAUACGGAGGGUGCAAGCGUUAAUCGGAAUUACUGGGCGUAAAGCGCACGCAGGCGGUCUGACAAGUCAGAUGUGAAAUCCCCGGGCUUAACCUGGGAACUGCAUUUGAAACUGUCAGGCUGGAGUCUUGUAGAGGGGGGUAGAAUUCCAGGUGUAGCGGUGAAAUGCGUAGAGAUCUGGAGGAAUACCGGUGGCGAAGGCGGCCCCCUGGACAAAGACUGACGCUCAGGUGCGAAAGCGUGGGGAGCAAACAGGAUUAGAUACCUCGGUAGUCCCUGUCUCUUAUAC
rnacentral:rRNA from 1 species